rnacentral:rRNA from 1 species
AGUGAACGCUGGCGGUAGGCCUAACACAUGCAAGUCGAACGGCAGCACAGUAAGAGCUUGCUCUUACGGGUGGCGAGUGGCGGACGGGUGCGGAAUACAUCGGAAUCUACUUUUUCGUGGGGGAUAACGUAGGGAAACUUACGCUAAUACCGCAUACGACAUACGGGUGAAAGCAGGGGAUCUUCGGACCUUGCGCGAUUGAAUGAGCCGAUGUCGGAUUAGCUAGUUGGCGGGGUAAAGGCCCACCAAGGCGACGAUCCGUAGCUGGUCUGAGAGGAUGAUCAGCCACACUGGAACUGAGACACGGUCCAGACUCCUACGGGAGGCAGCAGUGGGGAAUAUUGGACAAUGGGCGCAAGCCUGAUCCAGCCAUACCGCGUGGGUGAAGAAGGCCUUCGGGUUGUAAAGCCCUUUUGUUGGGAAAGAAAAGCAGCAUGUUAAUACCCCGCUGUUCUGACGGUACCCAAAGAAUAAGCACCGGCUAACUUCGUG